CUCAGACAAAGAGAACUAGAAUUUUACAUAAAAAGCCGCGUUCUGCAGUACAAAAGUUAGAAGAGGCAUCUCAAAUAGUGGAAAGUGCCAAACUCCGCAACACGGUAGUGUUCCAGUGUUUGCAGGAAGAGCACGAAA